AGCCCUUCUUCUAAUUUGGGAUAAAAUUUUUUUAUUUAAAGUUGGGGCAUGGCUGCAAAGAGCAGCCUCCCUGGAUGUAGGCAGCCUGUUGCCUGUACAGGUUGCCCUGAGAGACCUUGCAGACAACC
rnacentral:snoRNA from 1 species